rnacentral:tRNA from 1 species
GACGGCUUGGCCGGGGCGGUUGGCCCGGCUUGGGGUGCCGGGGCGGUUGGCCCGGCUUGGGGUGCCGGGGCGGUUG